ensembl:snRNA U6 U6 spliceosomal RNA
GUGCUCAGUUUGACAGCAUAUAUGCUAAAAUUGGAACAAUACAGAAAUUAGAAUUGCCCCUGAGCAAGGAUGACAUGCAAAUUUGUGAAGCAUUUCAUAUUUAA